GGCCCUAUCCUCACAGCAAGUGGCAAAAACCCUGUAAUGGAGCUCAAUGAAAAAAGAAGAGGUCUCAAGUAUGAACUCAUCUCAGAGACUGGUGGAAGCCAUGACAAGCGCUUUGUAAUGGAGGUAGAAGUAGAUGGACAGAAAUUCAGAGGCGCAGGUCCAAAUAAGAAAGUGGCAAAGGCGAGUGCAGCUUUAGCUGCCUUGGAGAAACUGUUUUCUGGACCCAAUGCGGCAAAUAAUAAGAAAAAGAAGAUUAUCCCUCAGGUAUGAGUAAACAUUAAACCUUUGCAGAACCUGUGAAAAAUGUUACAGGAAUUAAAUUUUCCUUGCUGUCCAUGUGCCACUUUAGCUUUUUCUUGGACUUGGCGACCUUUGCUUUGGGUUAGGUCAUGAAUAAUAUAAAUCUGAUUAGUGGUUUCAUGUUCUAUGGACUUUCUAAACAAAAUAUAUAUGUACAUGUAUAUUUAUAUUUAUAUAUCU
rnacentral:sRNA from 1 species